rnacentral:piRNA from 1 species
GCAGCUGGUGAUCGUUGGUCCCGG